UGCCUAGGGAAGUAGAAAAACAAAGCCGGGAGCGUCGCCACGGCAAUUGGAAAACUUCAGGAGCUCUUAAGCGGUCGAGGUGCUAGAAAGUGUUUGGCGUCGUGAAGGAAAUACCUGCCAACGUAGAGAAGGGUCGACGGGAUCUUGGAAUUGAUGAGGUGAUGCCUUCCUUUACUCUUGGGAAACUGCAGUCUGCGGAUGAAGAUGAUGCAAGUCAGGAAUCCAGGGAGAGACAAGUGUCUGAGAGGCUGCCCUCCUCAAGCAUGGUCUUCCCAGCUCAGCCCUGCUGCAAGCAGAAAUUUCAGGACUGCAGAAUCAGGCUGAUUAAAUCAUAAGGCUUGUCCUAGCAAGGGCACCUGGAGCCACUCCUAAUAAACUCCUGGAAUAUCUCCUCAAAGUUUGGGAAAAAAUGAUGCCUACAGUAAAUGAGGUGGAGAUGAUGGAAAUUCCUCGUCAGAGGAAGGGAUCAAAGGCUCAGAAAGGCGGGCCUGUUAGAACUGACUUAUUUGUGCAACACCAAAGAAUCACCAGAUGACUAUGUUUCUCAGGAAGGGCCUCCCCAAAGCCUGGGAUCCAUGACCACUAUGUUAAGAACGCCUGGAUGAAAAUCUUCCUUACAGAAAGUUCACAGUGGAAAAUAAAUGGCAGGGAAGCUUGGAUACCGUGGACAUCUGAAGUGACCAAGGACCACCAGGUGGCAGCAGAGUCUCAACUAAACUGUCCACCAACUUGGGCAUCAAGUCAGGCGGCCAGGUGCUCCUGCAGAAAAUUACAAAAGUCUACACAUUGGAUCAACUCUAAAUCCAUAAUAUGUAACCUCAGUGGUAACCUCAAGGCUGCUGAAGUUUCCUCGUUUCAUCCUUAGUUAAUUCCUUGGGGCAUUGCUCAUAGAAGCAAUUCUAAGCCUUCUCCACUCCCUGAAGUCCCUUUCUGCAUUUCAGCUCCUCGACCACAGCAGAUGACCUCACAUCCUCCUUUGUCUGGAGGACUGGGACCAUCCAUCCAGUCCUCUGCAGGCCCUCUCCGCUGUAGACAGAGCACAAGACCUACAGAGUCCUCCAUGGUACAUUUCUUGAGCUGAAUGGGAAAGACAUCAGAAAUUUCAUCCUUUUCAAGGCAAAAUAAAGAAUAUUUGACAAGAAGAAUCAUUCAUCCAGAAUUUGUCAGACUCCCCCUUCAGCACUAUGGAAAGAGAAUCCACUCACUGGCCCACAGGCAUAGGCCAGUGUGCUCAGCUGGGUGCUCAGUCAAGAGGCCAAUAAAUUGAGAGACAAAUUGCUGGAGCAAGGAAAUAGCGACUUUAUUCGGAAAGCCAGUAGACUGAGAAGAUGGUGGACUAGUGUCCCAAAGAACUGUCUUGCCCAGGAUCUGAGAGCAGCCCCCAGCUGACAGCCACAGGGGAAUGGGGACCUCAGUCCUACAGCUACAAGGAACAGAACUCUGCCAACAACCUGAAUGAGUUGGAAGGAAAAUUCUUCCCCAAAGCCUCCUGAUGAAAUUCCAGCCUGGCCAACACCUUGAUUUCAGUCUUGGGGGACCUGAGCGCAGAACCCAGUUGGAUCUGACUUACAGAGCUGUGAGAUCGCAUCUGUGGAUACCCUGUUGAGUUGGGACGUCCCAAAGCAGAGGAGAACUGUGCCUCGUUUCCCGGGGUGAGGCUGUGGAGAAGACACCAAGUCUAGGAUGGAAUCUCCUGGUUCCCAAAACUGUCGGAUUGCCACGACCACAGGAGGUGUCCAGUUGCUCAGUGCAUCUUUGAGGAAGGAGCUCUGUCCGGAAAGUUCCUCUCCCUGUCCAAAGCCUAUGUUCUGGCAGAGAAGUUGCCAUUAGCUUGCUGUGGAGGAGAAAGCAAACGGAAGCAAAUUCCUCUUGGGGGCACUCUUCACUUCAGAAAGAAGGUCACGGGCCGAUAACUUCAGGGACACCAGACCCGGUUGCAGAGCUACCUGAUGUCAGCUUUGGCCAUGAAUUUGCAGAAGAAAAGAAAUGCAAGACCUUCACUACUUUGAUCCUUAUCACAUACCCCGGACUGCGGACUGCGAGCCCCACGUAUAAAAUCUUCUCCGAUUCCCCAAGGAGGGAGGCACAGUUCUUGAGACGUUAGCCUACUGUGUCUUCCCUUGGCCUGGCAAAGAAAAUAA